CAGGGCUGUGUCCACCAUGGCAUGGACCCCUCUCCUCCUCGUGCUCCUCUCUCACUGCACAGGUUUCCUCUCCCAGCCUGUGCUGACCCAGCCAACCGCCCUCUCUGCAUCUCUGGGAACAACAGUCAAACUCCCCUGCACCCUGAGCAGUGGUGUAAAUAUUGGUGACAAAAACAUAUUCUGGUACCAGCAGAAGCCAGGGAGUGCUCCCCGGUAUUUCCUGUACUACUACUCAGACUCAGAUAAGCAGCUGGGACCUGGGGUCCCCAAUCGAGUCUCUGGAUCCAAAGACACUUCGAGCAAUGCAGCAUAUUUACACAUCUCUGGAAUUCAGCCCGAGGAUGAGGCUGACUAUUACUGUCAGAUCUGGCACAGCAAUGCUGCUCACAGUGACACAGGCAGAUGGGGAAGGCUGCCUGAAGCAUCCUGUGUCCCUGAAGUGCUGUCUGAGGAUGUCAAGACACAGAGCUGA